rnacentral:rRNA from 1 species
CAAGUCGAGCGAGAAAGGGGUAGCAAUACCCUGAGUAAAGCGGCGCACGGGUGAGUAACACGUGGGUAACCUACCCUAGAGUGGGGAAUAACACCGGGAAACCGGUGCUAAUACCGCAUACGAUCACGAUGUCUUCGGAUGUUGUGAUGAAAGGAGCAAUUCGCUCUUGGAGGGGCCCGCGGCUGAUUAGCUAGUUGGUAAGGUAAUGGCUUACCAAGGCUACGAUCAGUAUCCGGUCUGAGAGGACGGUCGGACACACUGGAACUGAGACACGGUCCAGACUCCUACGGGAGGCAGCAGUGGGGAAUUUUUGGCAAUGGGGGAAACCCUGACCAAGCAACGCCGCGUGGGUGAUGAAGUAUCUCGGUACGUAAAACCCUUUCGACGGGGAAGAAAGGCCGCAAGGCUUUGACGGUACCCGUAGAAGAAGCCCCGGCUAACUCCGUGCCAGCAGCCGCGGUAAUACGGGGGGGGCAAGCGUUGUUCGGAAUUACUGGGCGUAAAGGGCGCGUAGGCGGUCUGCUAAGUUGGGUGUGAAAACUCUGGGCUUAACCCAGAGCCUGCAUUCAAAACUGACAGGCUAGAGUUCUGGAGGGGAUAGCGGAAUUCCUGGUGUAGCGGUGAAAUGCGUAGAUAUCAGGAGGAACACCGGUGGCGAAGGCGGCUAUCUGGACAGAGUCUGACGCUGAGGCGCGAAAGCUAGGGGAGCAAACAGGAUUAGAUACCCUGGUAGUCCUAGCCCUAAACGAUGGAUACUUGCUGUGACUGGGAUUGAAUCCAGUCGUGGCGAAGCUAACGCAUUAAGUAUCCCGCCUGGGGAGUACGGUCACAAGGCUGAAACUCAAAGGAAUUGACGGGGGCCCGCACAAGCGGUGGAGUAUGUGG